UGAGGAAUCUUGCGCAAUGGGGGAAACCCUGACGCAGCAACGCCGCGUGAGUGAGGAAGGUCUUCGGAUCGUAAAGCUCUGUCGGGUGGAAAGAAAUGUAUGAGGUUAAUAGCCUUCAUACUUGACGGUACCACCAAAGGAAGCACCGGCUAACUCCGUGCCAGCAGCCGCGGUAAUACGGGGGGUGCAAGCGUUGUUCGGAAUUAUUGGGCGUAAAGAGCGUGUAGGCGGCUUGUCAAGUCAGAUGUGAAAGCCCUGGGCUUAACCCAGGAAGUGCAUUUGAAACUGCCUAGCUUGAGUAAGGGAGAGGGAAGUGGAAUUCCUGGUGUAGAGGUGAAAUUCGUAGAUAUCAGGAGGAACACCGGUGGCGAAGGCGACUUCCUGGCCCUAUACUGACGCUGAGACGCGAGAGCGUGGGUAGCAAACA
rnacentral:rRNA from 1 species